CGAACCUGCCCAAGAGAUCGGGAUAACACCUGGAAACAGAUGCUAAUACCGGAUAACAGCAGAUGAUGCCUAUCAACUGUUUAAAAGAUGGUUCUACUAUCACUCUUGGAUGGACCUGCGGUGCAUUAGCUAGUUGGUAGGGUAACGGCCUACCAAGGCGAUGAUGCAUAGCCGAGUUGAGAGACUGAUCGGCCACAUUGGGACUGAGACACGGCCCAAACUCCUACGGGAGGCAGCAGGU
rnacentral:rRNA from 1 species